rnacentral:rRNA from 1 species
GCCAGACUCCUACGGGAGGCAGCAGUGGGGAAUAUUGCACAAUGGGGGAAACCCUGAUGCAGCGACGCCGCGUGAGUGAAGAAGUAUUUCGGUAUGUAAAGCUCUAUCAGCAGGGAAGAAAAUGACGGUACCUGAUUAAGAAGCCCCGGCUAACUACGUGCCAGCAGCCGCGGUAAUACGUAGGGGGCAAGCGUUAUCCGGAUUUACUGGGUGUAAAGGGAGCGUAGACGGUGAUGCAAGUCAGAAGUGAAAGCCCGGGGCUCAACUCCGGGACUGCUUUUGAAACUGUGUGACUGGAGUGCAGGAGAGGUAAGCGGAAUUCCUGGUGUAGCGGUGAAAUGCGUAGAUAUCAGGAGGAACACCAGUGGCGAAGGCGGCUUACUGGACUGUAACUGACGUUGAGGCUCGAAAGCGUGGGGAGCAAACAGGAUUAGAUACCCCUGUA